rnacentral:rRNA from 1 species
CCUGGCGACAAUAGCGCGGCGAUCCCACCUGACCCCAUGCCGAACUCAGAAGUGAAACGUCGUAGCGCCGAUGGUAGUGUGGGGUCUCCCCAUGUGAGAGUAGGGAAGCGCCAGGC